rnacentral:rRNA from 1 species
UACGUAGGGGGCUAGCGUUGUCCGGAAUCAUUGGGCGUAAAGCGCGUGUAGGCGGUCCGGUAAGUCCGCUGUGAAAGUCGAGGGCUCAACCCUCGAAUGCCGGUGGAUACUGUCGGGCUAGAGUACGGAAGAGGCGAGUGGAAUUCCUGGUGUAGCGGUGAAAUGCGCAGAUAUCAGGAGGAACACCAAUUGCGAAGGCAGCUCGCUGGGACGUAACUGACGCUGAGACGCGAAAGCGUGGGGAGCAAACAGG